GCGGUUUCUUUGUUUUUUCGCUCCCGCCACGCUGGGUUUGGCGUCUUUGCUGCUGGCACAGGUCCCCCGGUAAUCCCCGUCGCCGCCCCUCUGUGAAGUGAGCAGCCCCGGGGUAGGACGCCGGGACACCCGGAAGCCGGAAAUGCUGAGUGUGCGGGGGCCGGACGUCCCGAGACCUGAGGAGGGGCUGGUGGAACCCGCCGGAUCUGGCUGUGGCGGGACCCGGACCUGUCCGCUGUGACUCCGGGGUCUGGGACCCGAGUCCCCCUGGAGCAGCUCGGCCCUCGGUGUCCUCGGCCGCAGGAUGGGACAGUCUAGUCGCAGGAAAACAAGCUGAGGGCUCCCACUGAUUCUACAUGACAUUUGGAUCUUCCACUGAUAGACA